UCUUGGAGCAGCGGGAUUAGCUUCUAAAGUCUCUUUCAUCUCUCCUAAGGAAGAAGCCUAGAAGAGGAGGAAGAGGAAAGAAAAGGAGUCAGGAAUGCCUCUUAGUGACUGGUGCUGUGGAAUUUGUGAAGAGGCUCCAUUGGGAAGGGCUUAUACCCAGACAUGGAUGGAGACGGGGUGUGGGCCCCAUGGUGUCACUGCUCUUGGGCAGCAGGAAUUGAAGGAUUGUUUAAGGGCCAGGUCUGGAGGCACUGCCAGCUCUGUAGACUGGAUUAUGGAAGCUGCUCGUGGAAGUCUUAAUGUGCACAACUGCCUGAUAAAAUUUGGAAGAAGAGAUUAGGAAGAGGAAAUCUUUUCUGCCUGAUUUUAUACUCCAUUUGUAGUAAAUGUUUAACAGCAAGAGAUUCUUUAAACCAUUCUAAGUACAUCCAUCCUAUGGAGAUUGUGGUAUUCCUGCAGAGACUCUUGUGAA
ensembl:lncRNA novel transcript